AUUCUUAUGUUUACAGUUGAACAAGCUGUGCGUAAAUAAUCCAUGACAGUCAUUCCUUUUAAGGUGUAUAUUAAGCCAGCAGAAUGCACGCUGUUUAGAGAACAAUAACACAACAUUGGCAAGAAAAAGUUUGGCUGAAAAAGAUGCUACGGAGAGAAAUCAACAGACCAAGCUUUAUCACAGAUGGAAGGUUCGUUUUACGAGCUGAACUGACCAAGGUAAA